GACGAGCGCUGGCGGCGUGCUUAACACAUGCAAGUCGAACGGAAAGGCCCUGCUUUUGUGGGGUGCUCGAGUGGCGAACGGGUGAGUAACACGUGAGUAACCUGCCCUUGACUUUGGGAUAACUUCAGGAAACUGGGGCUAAUACCGGAUAGGAGCUCCUGCUGCAUGGUGGGGGUUGGAAAGUUUCGGCGGUUGGGGAUGGACUCGCGGCUUAUCAGCUUGUUGGUGGGGUAGUGGCUUACCAAGGCUUUGACGGGUAGCCGGCCUGAGAGGGUGAACGGCCACAUUGGGAGUGAGAUACGGCACAGACUCCUACGGGAGGCAGCAGUGGGGAAUAUUGCACAAUGGGCGGAAGCCUGAUGCAGCAACGCCGCGUGCGGGAUGACGGCCUUCGGGUUGUAAACCGCUUUCGCCUGUGGCGAAGCGUGAGUGACGGUAAUGGGUAAAGAAGCACCGGCUAACUACGUG
rnacentral:rRNA from 1 species